rnacentral:tRNA from 1 species
GGCUGUGUAGCUCAGUGGUAAAACAUAGGCUUAGUAUGUACAAGGUACUGGGUUCAAUCCCCAGCACUGCCC